GAGCUCGCUUUGGCAACACAUAUUCUAAAAUUGGAACGAUACAGAGGAAUAGCAUGACUCCUGCACCAGAAUGACACGCAAAUUCAUGAAGAGGGCACCUAUGAA
ensembl:snRNA U6 U6 spliceosomal RNA